rnacentral:rRNA from 1 species
GAUGAACGCUGGCGGCGUGCUUAACACAUGCAAGUCGAACGGGAAACCUUUUAUUGAAGCUUCGGCAGAUUUAGCUGGUUUCUAGUGGCGGACGGGUGAGUAACGCGUGGGUAACCUGCCUUAUACAGGGGGAUAACAGUCAGAAAUGGCUGCUAAUACCGCAUAAGCGCACAGAGCUGCAUGGCUCAGUGUGAAAAACUCCGGUGGUAUAAGAUGGACCCGCGUUGGAUUAGCUGGUUGGUGGGGUAACGGCCCACCAAGGCGACGAUCCAUAGCCGGCAUGAGAGGGUGAACGGACACAUUGGGACUGAGACACGGCCCAGACUCCUACGGGAGGCAGCAGUGGGGAAUAUUGCACAAUGGGGGAAACCCUGAUGCAGCGACGCCGCGUGAAGGAAGAAGUAUCUCGGUAUGUAAACUUCUAUCAGCAGGGAAGAUAAUGACGGUACCUGACUAAGAAGCCCCGGCUAACUACGUG